rnacentral:tRNA from 1 species
GCAAGUAUAGUUUAACCAAAACAUUGAGCUGUGAUCCCAAAGACAGAAGUUAGACCCUUCUUACUUGCC